rfam:Triticum aestivum genome assembly, contig: Triticum_aestivum_CS42_TGACv1_scaffold_580803_7BL
CAACUACUUCCUCUGUCCCAAAUUUCUUGUCUUAGAUUUUUCUAGAUACAGAUAUAUCUGUGACUUGAUGCAUCUGUAUCUAGACAAAUCUAAGACAAGAAUUUUGGGACGGAGGGAGUACUUU